AGCGGAGGUGGCUAUAGCACUAAAAAAAUAACCGAGGUGUCGUAGGUUCAAGUCCUAUUUCCGCUACCA
rnacentral:tRNA from 2 species